AGUUCAAGAGUACGUGAAACCGUUCAGGGGUAAACCUGUGAAACCCAAAAGAUCGAAAGGGGAGAUUCAUCGUCGACGGCGUCGACGCGAGUCGGUGCGCGAUGCCCCGAAUGGUCCGUUCGCGCGGUUCCACGGCGAGGGCACGCCACCUUCGGCGAACGUUCGGCGUCGUAGUCGUGCACUUCUCCCCUAGUAGAACGUCGCGACCCGUUGCGUGUCGGUCUACGGCCCGAGUGGGAGCCUGUUGCGUCUCGCCUUCGCGCGAUCGCGACAGACCCUCGGUCGCCCGGCCGGCUGCGCGACGGUACUCUGACGGUAUCGGGCCGCAACCAAUCCAUUUUCGAAUGUGUUUGCGUCAGGCCCGCCGCAAGCUCGAUCAGUUCCUACCCGGUGGUUCCACGGACCUUGCGCCGUCCCCGGGCCUGAUCAGCUGUUGGCCGGCGGUGUCCUCGGACUGGCCAAAGCUUCGAUUACCGGUCAGCGACGCUAUUGCUUUGGGUACUCUCAGGACCCGUCUUGAAACACGGACCAAGGAGUCUAACAUGUGCGCGAGUCAUUGGGAUCAAUGAAACCUAAAGGCGAAAUGAAAGUGAAGGUCGUCCUCGCGUCGACCGAGGGAGGAUGGGCCGCGUACAGCACGGCCCCGCACUCCCGGGGCGUCUCGUUCUCAUCGCGAGAAG
rnacentral:rRNA from 1 species